rnacentral:misc_RNA from 1 species
GUUCCUCCUCUCCUUUUUUCCCUCCUCUUUCCCUCUCUUGUAUUCCGGAGAGUAUGCCUAUUUGAGGGUCAUUUGAAAUAAUAUAAAUUCCAAGAUUUCUCGGAAUUUAAAAUGGGUUGUCCAUUUUUUUUGGUAGCCUAAAAUCCAAGACAAGCUCAUUUUCUUGGGUUGCGUGAUACUUUCAGUUACCUCGUGACUUAACCAGGAAUCAUCGGGCGUGUUAUGAAUUUUGCAAGAGAUAAAAAAUACCAUAGAUUUAUCUCAUGCUAAAUAGAAAUAGAAUCAUGACCUCAAAUUAGGU